GUAGAGUAGAAUAUUUUUAAAAUUAAAAAUAAAUCUCUACUUCCUUGAUUCAUAAUUGCAUUUUAGGGUUAAGGAAUAUAGAUAUUUUCAAGAUUUUACUUCUAGAUGCUUGAACAUAAAAUGGCUUCAUUCCUAGAUUAAUCCAACUAAUAUUAAUUGAAUACAAUUGAUAACGUUUGUUAAGGACCAUAUUAUAAUACCUGUGUUACUGCGAAAGACUAACAUAUUAGCAUAGCAUUGCUUAUCAAAUGAUAUAGUUUUCUCCUCAAGAAAGCUUUGAGGGAGUAGAGCAUAGAAAACCAAAGUUUUAUGGGAGCAAUUUAGAUCAGGAAAAGUUCUGAAAAUGGGAUGAUUCUGUGGAAAACUGUAUCAGGGGAUCACCACAAAGGGCCAUGGAUUAGUUCUCAGCACCUGAUAUUGUAGCUGGCACACAGUAGGUGAUGGAUAAAUGUACAUUAACUUUUUUGGUAGUAGAAACUAUUAUAAAUCAAGUUUUGUUACCACUGUGGUGAGUUGGACAAAUUAUGAACUCUAGAAGUGUUUUCUGAAGUAGGGCUCCCAUGGCAUAACCCAAGAGAUAAUCAUCUAAUCAGAGGGUGGGAAGUUGGGUCACAUCCUGCUCUUUUUGGUCUGUCCUUAGGUGCUUGUCUCCAGUGUGACACCUUCAAUUCUGCUCCUUGCCAUGGCUGUUUUUGGUGGGACACAGUAAAUAAGACCUAGCACCAGCAGGAUAAUUUGGAGUUCAAAUGAUCAUCUGAGAAGCCUGAUCUGGAUUCCUUACAAGUCACAUUGUGAACCCUGCUUCAGCAGAGAAGCAGAAAUCGGAGCUUUGGUGAGUUUCUACUCAGCAGAGAAUGUUGCCUCGGGGAGGGAAUCUUUCCAGUCCCAGAGCAUCAUGUGAUACACAUUUCAGAUGUUUCCCUUGGUUUCUGUGGCAUCAAUACCAUCUGCUGUAUUAGGUCAGAAAAGCAGCAUGCCUGCCCAUAGCUACCCAGCUAAGCCACCUCUGCAGAGUAUGGACUCCAAGAUGGAAGAAAGAAUCCAAGCAGAGCCCAGGGCCUGGAAGAGAUCACCCUACAAGCUUGAGGCAGUAUUUUCUCCAUCCCAGGAGGGGAGCUGAACAUCAAUAUAUAGGCAAGGUUGUUUAAAAAGCUGCCCCAAAUGAGCAAAAGACAAAGAACAAACCCAGCCCUGGAAAACUAUUUCAGUGUAAGGUAAUUAAAAGUGCAUAAAAAUUCCCGAUUGUGUGAGUUUUAAUAUUUAAUGAAAUUUCUUGCUUUUAGUUUGGUCCAUCCUGAUUUACUGAACAUGGAGGUGUGACCAGAGAUAAAACAUCCUCAUGAGAAAUGCUGGGAAUCACUUAUUGAGGUACACCGGAUCAGUCCUUUCCCUGUUCUAAGAGCCCUUGGUCUCUUUUAACCAAUCAGUAUGUCUCCUAUUUGAAUGUUUUUUGAUAUUUCAAUAUAUAUUACUGUCAUUUAUAUAGUUCAGUUCAUACAUAGAUACAUACAUGUACAAUGUCAUGUAUAUAAUUUAUAUAGAAUAAAUAACAGUACAAUAUAUCUCUCUAUAUAAGUAAAUUCUUCACUCAGAUGUGAUAAAAUAAGGAAACACAAUCACAAUGGAUAAACUCCAAAAGUCAGAAUAGUUCUGCAUAGGUAAGUCACUUUCAACCUUGAGACACCAAAACCACAAAAAACAAACAAACAAAAAAAAACUUUAUUUCUUUAUAGUGUUCUGAACAUUGGUUCUUUGGGAAUUUCUGAGGGUUGUAAACCCCAGAAAAGGGGUACCGUCUGGGAGAGGGCAACCAUGUGUGCAAAUAAAACUUCCUCCUCAGAUGAAUUGAAUCUGAUAUUAUCAGCUCUCAUUUAAUCAUUUCGAUCUGCCCCAGUUCUGGUGAAGAAAGCUGCUAGGAUUGGUGAUUCCAGCAGAUUUUGAAUGUAGGAAGGUUUGGGAAGCUUCUUUACCCUCUGCCACACCACAGCAAGCACUGAAUUUAUAUAAUGCCCUUCUUCCAAGGAGAGACAGUAUUAGGUCUGGUGGGUAGAGUGCUGGGCUUGGAAUCAGAAGGAGCUGGCUUGAAAUCUAGCCCCUGACAUUUAUUGUGCGACCCUGGAUAAGUCAAUUCAUCUGUCCCUGUUUUAGACAACUCCUUUGUAUGCUUCUCCCAAGCUGGAGAUGAGUCACAAGGCUGAAGAAAUCCAAACAAGGAUCUCAAAGUAAUUCAUGUUCAUUUUGUCACGCCAUUACUGGAAGUUUGGGGCUGGUAUUUUAAUAUUCACAUUUCACAGGUAACCAAAAUGUGAAGGGAAAAAAGCAGUCACAGAGGCAGAAAGCACACAUUCUCAAGCCCCUCGCGUAUUCUUUGCCGAGCACAUUUCUUCCAGUGUGCUUCUGUAGUGUAUGGAUCUCUCCCCAGCUUUACCUCUAAUGAAAGCUGCAUUAUUCAUACAGCUGCUGAAUUCUGACAGGCAGGAGAGUGUUAGCGAAAAUGUGUUAUAUCUAUCCCACGUCAGUUGAGUUCAGUGCUGUGGAGCAAAGCAGCAACAAAAUUAAGCCAUAUUACCUCCGAAGGAAGCCUUUUCUGCUGCCACGGUAUUAUUGGGAGCAAGAUUUGUUUUCUUUUCUUCACAGACCUUCAAGCUUGCCCAUCAGGUAAUGAGGUGGACUGAAGAAAUCAACAUCAGCCUCGUCUUUGCCACCCAAGCAGUUCCCUCAAGCGCACUAUUGCUUUGUGCCGCUGCCUGAGGGACCACAUGUGUGCCUGACGUGCCUGAUUUCCUGACUGAAAACCUUACAGGCUCCUUGCCUUGCUGGGUUUUCAAUACUCCAAAGCUAUUCUUUUGCCUUUCAGAUUAGGUUCUCAUCACUCAGAAUCUUCCCUUUUCUUGGAACAGGUGAAGUCUUGUCUGAAAAAGAAUUGACAAGGGCUGGAAGAAAAACCUUCAACUUAUCCGUCCCUCAAGCUUUUUCCUUCUGAAAAUGAGGUCGUCAUAUUGUGAUGAAACGGUUCACAUGUUAAGGAAGCGCUGCCUGCAACCCCAAAUGCCAGUUUAUUCCUGCCCCCGCCAGCAGCAGCUCCAAUUCCUCAUCAGGUGAUUUGACUUCAGAGCAAGUCUGGGAGGAGUUUUCCACAGCAUUUUAUAAGGCUUUCAGGCAAAUCUUCACACACCGUCAUUUCCUGAACUGUCUAAAAAGGACCAGAAGAGAGGUUUUUUCUGCAUAAUUUAGUGAAAUUGCAAUCAACAACCAAUGAUACUGAGGGAUUCCUGACUUCAGUUUUGCCAGUAAUUUUAAUUACUGACAUUAUUUGCUACAGGGAUGACAAUGUGUCUGGGUGGCCUGCCAAUUUAGUAAUUAUAGCAUAAAUUGGUUUUAUGAUUCCAAGGGCUUUCUUUGUGAAGCCAGUAUCUCUUUAGGAAGCUAAAUGAUUAGAUGUAACUUCCUGCUGGGAGAAUAAAUCCUUAGGGAGUCUGGCAAUCGGCAUCAUAGGCAUGUAAUGAUAGAUGAGGAGGGGUCAGAAAGCUUAGUAUGAAACCAUCACUGGGCCUCGGGAUAAUCUAGGCAAUAUUUGUCUAAAUGAAGCUUGCCAACCUAACAGCAUUAUGAAUGGUAGUCAAAUUAUCCUAUGACUGAUGUAUGGGAAAAUUUAAAGUUUAUCCAAGUGCUUAGGCUGCACACUACAGAACAUGCCAAGGACCCUGAAGCCUGAAAAGAAGGCUCAGUGGAUUCAAAAUGUGGCAUUUCUGGCUUAUCCAUUCAAGGUUGUUGAAAAAGAUGAAUCAGGUUCUAUGCCCUACCUGCUCAGGAGUCCUUUUUGGUGUACUCAAUAUAAUAUUAACAUAUAUGCUAUGUAUUAUGAGAAUCUUAGCCAAGUAAGGAAACAAGCAAUGAUUAAAUACUCUCACAACAACCUUGAGAGAUAGGUGUUAUUAUCCCCAUUUUACAGUUGGGGAAACAGAAGCAGAUAACAUUUAAAAGAUUUGCCCAGGGACACAGUUAACAAGUGUCAGGUCAAAUUUGAACCCAGGUCUUCUUGAUUCCAGACCCAACACUUUAUCCCCUGAGCUACCCAGUUGUCUUUCUAGAGAGAGCAGAGAGGGAGCCACCUUCAAAGCCAAGGAAAUCUGCAUUCAAGUCUUACUUCUGACACAUACUGGCUGCAUGACUCUGGAUAAAUUAUUUUAUUUCUCAGUCUUCUAGGAAACUCUUUUAAAGCUUCCCAGAAGAUGCUGACUUUAAUUAUUAAAGGGAUUUUCCUCCCUUAGAAUUUCCUUAUACUAAAGAAAUCACCGUUUCUUAUCCCUUGUGUUGAUCUGCUGCCGGUGCUCUUGCUGCUAUGUAUUGGGGAUGUGCAUUUGUACUGGACAGUACUUUGUAGUUUGUAUAAUUACCUGUGCCUGUGUUUUAUGAUAGUUUACAUAUGUGUACAAUGUAUGUUUGCAGAUGUUUUUGUUUGCCCCAUCUAAUCCCCAAUUCCCAGGAAAUUGGUAUCUUUUUUGUCCAUCGGCAAGGGACAUGUAAGCCCCUCUCAGCACUUUGGACUUUUGAGACACCCCCAUUCAUUCUUUUUAACUUCUCAGAUGGCAGGAUAUGGAAGAGAGAUGUUAUAUCCUCUAUUCAUGGAGGACAGAGGGAGUCACUGUAAAAUGCCUGGAUGUGCAUGGACCUCAGAUCUGAAAAAAUUGGACCCAAGAGCAGCUGGGGAUCAUCUCUCCUUUUUUCAUAUAUUGGUGAUAGUCAAAUGAUGCCACAUUGGUAGUAAUUUCUUUGGCAUUUAGGCAAUUUCAGUGUUGGAUUUCAAUGUGGGAUUGGAGAGAGAGACUUUGGAUUGGAGGUCUUGGGUAAUGACAGAAUUGAGAACCUGGGACCCGAGAAGAACACAUUUUUUUUUUCCAUGUAGCUCUCUCUGGCUUUGUGAAUCACUUAAACUUUAUUUGUGCUUUCUAAUUCUCUUGUGAAUUAAUGGACUAUACUCAACUCCCAAUUCAGGGGGAGAUGGCAGGGCUAUGACAAUUCAUUGAACUUAUUAACUUUCAACAUACUUUCUGUCCUAUAUUUAGAAGACUGAUAAAAGUGAAGUCAGACUCCAGCCUACAGGAUGUUUCUGCUUAGGGAGGGACUGGUCCAGUAAUUGGCUGCAAUGUAUAAUCUAUAUUACAUGUGUUAAUAUUUCUCCUUAUGCUAUACAUUUGCAAAGCUAAUUAAAUUAUGUAUUUAAAUUGUGAACUUGAGGGCAUCUAGAUAAUUGAAGCCACAUGAAAGAAAAAAAUUAUUAAAGGAAGCUGACCAAGUAGUUGGCGGCUGAAUCAGAAAUUGAUUAAGGCAUAUUCUUAGUUAGGAAUAUUCAAUGUAAUAAGGCUGAAGAGGGACAAGGGAAAGAAUGCUCACUGAUUAGCUGCUACAUGCCACCAGAUUCUGAUUGGUGACAGGAUCCAGAUGGCUAUAUUUUAUGCUUGUUACAUACAUAAAGGCCUUUUGUGAAAAUUUUGUUCUGUUACUUUCUAGGAAUCUAGAACAUGUCUAUUUGCCAAGAAAUAAAGCGAUAAGGUUACAUGUCCAAGCCAGCCAUUAGCAGCCUAAUUAAUUCAAACUAUCCCUCAGAUGACUUAGUAAAUAAGCAUAAUGAAUAAUAUGUAUCACAAUAUCUCUAGGAAAAUAAAUUUCAAAUUCCAACCAGGAAAACCAAGAAAGCAUAUAUUCACUAUUAUAGCUCUGUUACUAGGAAGCAGAUGCUUCCCUUCCUUCUGUUACUUUUUCUGCCAGACAGCUAGUAUGAAUAUACCUCCAGAUCCUUUCUCUGCCUUUUGGCUAAGAUCACGUGUAGCAUCAGAGCUAAGACACUGGAAAGGUUCCCUACAAUGAGGAAGCAAGGAGAGGAAUACAUUGAAGGAGAUCAUUCUGAAGGACAAGAGGUGGGAUAAUUGGAUCAGGGGUCUGGUAAAUAUUGAAUGAUGAUCAUGAGACAAAGUUUAUAUUCUCUUUGCUCUCACUUGUCUCUUCUUCCCUUUUUUCUUUUUCAUGGUUACUCAUCAAUAGUUAGCCAAUGAGAAUUUAUUGAUCCAGGUGCCAUUGACCUGUGCUGGUGAAUGUUUAGGAGUAGAGAUCAGAGGGAAUUUUCCAUCUAUUUUUUCUUCCCCUUGAUUUAACAGAUGAUUAGCCCUCUUCUACCCUGUAUUCUACUAUUGAAAUUAUGGAAAGACCAUAUAAUAUAAUCUGUUAGCUUAGACAAAGAGAAAAUGGCAAUUAAAAUCCCAUAAAUUAAUGUAUAUUUGCUUAAUAUUGAUUUUAUCUUUGAGAGCAAAAAUUGAAAUCUUGCUUGAUAUUUGCUAUUAAAAAUUCAGUCAGGCUAGUGGUUCUUUUUUCCCAUGUUAAGGGAAAAUAGGGGAGGAAUGGGAAUACUAAUGCUUUCAGGUAGAUUAGGAGAAUCCCUGUGAUUACCUAACUUGCAUUUUCAUUUUGUACAAUAGACGUAUGUUAAUGAAAAACUUUGAAACAUAAUAAAAAAUGCUUGAGUGAGCUCUGUUGAAGUAAUGAUACAUUUUGCUUUGUCAUGCCAUUUUAAGGGAAUUCAAAUUAUUGAAGUUAAGAAAAUUAGCUGGGAAAGGUCACUUCCCCCCUCACCAUCAUCAUCAUUGACAACAAUAACAACACCAUCAGAUAUUUUUUAAGUACUCUUCAGCCUACUAUACAUACAUACAUACACACACACACACAUACACACACACAUAUAUAUAUAUACAUAUAUAUAUAUAUAUGUAGCUCUAUUCUUGGGCAUAUUGAAGAAUACAAAAGUACAUGCUAAAAAUUCAUACUUCCAAGGAGCUUACAUUCUAGUUUAGAAAGCCAAUUCUUUAACAUGUGGGCAUGAAUGCAUGCUUUAAAACAAUUAUAAAUAACUGUAAAAUUAUAGGUUGUUGUAGACUAUAAAUACAAAAGGAGAUCAUUCCAAAAAAAGAGGUCAAAGUGGACUAGUGUAAUCAGGAAGGCUUAAUUUAGAAGAGUAUUUAGAUGCAUCAGGAGGGAUACAAAGGGCCAAAUAAGUGGAAAGGAGACACCUUGGGUAUUUGAUGUUAAUUAGGUGUGCACAGGAUCAAGAAGCCCUAUUUCUUUUCCAACUACUUCUUUCAGAAACUCUUUUGGAAAGGCCAGUUUAGCUGAAUUUUGAUAGACUCAUUACUGCAAACUGGAUAUCAAGUACUGAAUUUUUUUGACCGCUGUUAAUCAUGAAGACCAUUUACUUAAGUAUAGAGAGGUUGUGGUUUCUGUUGGUGAUAGGGAUACCUACAUCAAUAAAAUCCUAGGUCUUUGGAAUUAUUAAACUCUAACAGCAUACUUAUUUUGAGGCAUACCCUUAGUCAGUUAUCACAGGAAUUCAUACAUGGAUAUAGAAUUUUUUUUCUUUAUUCAAGAGAGAUUUUUAAAAGCUCCCAACAUACAAAGCUUGCUCUCUCAUUGUCAAAAUUACUUCUCCAUAGCUAUGAGAAUUAAAAAUAGUGUGGAAGGCUGAAGUAUUCUUUUUUCCCUUUACUCUAAAACAGCCUCUAAAAACAAUGAUACUCUCCUGUCUCUUAGAUUCACAAAAAGGUCAUUUUAAAGAAUGCUUAUUUGCUUUGUGUGAACAUGAAAACCAACAAAAUGUUACCCUGCAAAAAAUUAAAAAAAAAAACUCUUUUUGCUUUUAUUGUGGCAAUUGUUGUGUGAGGCUAAUUUAGAAAGUAUGCUUCUUGUGCUCUCUAAAGACUAAAAUCUGAUAUCCUUUAUUUUGAGUUUGGGAUUUUAAUUAUAAGUAAAGAGAACUAUGUAGUCAAUCUUUUCAUGAAAUGGCCUAAAUGUAAUAUCUCUCAAUGACUGUUAUUAUAUUAUGUAGCUUUAUAUCUUUUAUUAUCAACAGUAUAUUGCUAUAAUAUCCAUGUAAAUUUAUGAAAUAAAUAUCUACUGAAGCCCAUAUGAGAUUAUUCAUUAGCUUAGAUAAAGAGGAAAUAGCAUUUAAAAACCUCAUAAAUUAAUGUAUAUUUACUUAUUAUUGAUCUUAUCUUUAGAAACAAAAAUUGAAAGUGUAUUUGAUAUUUGUUACUAAAAUAAUUUGAUCAAAGAAAUUUGACAUUUUCUUUGUAAUUUGAUUAGAUAACUCUAAAGAUCCUUCAUUCUCUAGAGCUGUGGUUCAAUGGAUCUACUACAUAGUCUAGCCAAAAUAGGGUAGCUAGGCGAUACAAUAGAUAGAGUGCGAGACACAGAGUCAAGAAGAUUACUCUUUGUCAUUUCAAAUAUCUUCUCAGACACUUCCUAGCUGUAUGACCCUGGGAAAAUCACUUCAAUCUGUUUGCCUUUACUUGCCUUUACUGUAAAAUGAGCUAGAGAAGGAAAUGACAAAUUACUCUAACAUUUUUUCAAAAAAAAAAAAAAAACAAACCCACGUGGUUCAAGAAGAGUCAGAUAUGACUAAAAUGAUUGAAUACUAACAACUAAUUAAAUGAGCUGGUUUCUUUUAAUUUGAUUUUGUCUCCCUUUUACCUAGAUCAUGUAUCUACUUUGAUCUUAUCUAUGUAAUUGGCACAAAGCAUUGUUCUAUACCUAGUUUCUGCCAAACUUCUUUCCACUCUUCUUAGCAAUUUGACCACAUGGUGAAUUCUUAUCCCUCAAAAUUGGACCUUUCCUUUUGUCAAAUACAAAGUUACUGCUAUAUUUUACUGCUUUUGCUAUAUGUCUGUUCUAUUCCACUGUUCUACAUUUGUUUUUCUUAGCUAGUACCAGAUAGUUUUGGAUAAUUAUUGCUCUAUAAUACAAUUUAAAAUCUGGUACCAAUAGGGCACAUUCCUUUAUACUUUUUUUCAUUAAUUCCUAUUAUAUUUUUACUUUCUUUUCUUCUAAAUGAAAUUUUGUUUUUCAAUAUAUUUUUGAAUAUUAUUUUUUUGAAAUUUUGCAAUUCAUGUCCCCUCUCUCCCUCACACUUCUUUCUCCUCUUUAUGAAUGUAGGUAAUAUGAUAUUAUAUAUGUAUGUAUAUAUUAUUAUAUAAUACACAUUUUCCUGUUUGUCAUGAAAAAAGACAAAUCCUAAUUUUACUAGAGGAAAAUACAUGGAGGAAAUAUAGCAAAGAGUGGUAUAUUUCAAUUAGUAUUCAGACUGUGUUACUUUUAUGGUGGUACAUAUUCUUUUUUUGUUGUUGUUGUAAUCCUUUAAAAUUGGCCUAGAUUUUUGCCUAAUUGAUACUGGUUAAGUAAUUCAUAGUUGAUCAUCACACAUUAUUGUUGUUAUUAUGUAUAACAUUCUCCUUCCACUUAAUUUUGCAUCACAUUAUAGGAGUUUUUCCAAGUAUUUUUUUGCAAUUAUCUUGUUUGUCAUAUCUUGUGGCAAAAUAGUAUUCCAUUAUAAGCAUAGACCACAACUUGUACAGCCAUUCCCUAAUUGAUGGACACACCAUCAGUUUCCAGUUCUUUACCACCCCAAAAAGAACUCCUAAAAGUAUUUUAACAGGUGGGUUCUUUUUCCUCUAUCUUUAAUUUUUUUGGGAUAUAGAGUGGUAUUGCUGGGUCAAAGGAUAAGCAUGACUCUUUGGGCAUGGUUCCAGAUAUAGUUGUAUCAAUUGCAGCUCUACUAGUAAUAUAUUAGUGUCGUGCUGAUUUUUCCACAUUCCCUUCUCCAUUUAUCAUUUCCCUUUUUUGUGUUAAUAUAGUUUUAAUUUCUUCAUCUGAGAAUUGCUUGUUCAUAUCCUUUGAACAUUUGUCAAUUGGGACAUAUUUUGGAUUCUUAUAAAUUUGUCUCAGUUCUCAAUAUAAAUGAGAAAUGAAGCCUUUUUCAAAGAGACUGGCUAUAAAGAUUUUCCCCAGUUUGUUGUUUGCCUUUUAAUCUGGGUUGAAUUGUUUUGGUGUGAGCAGAAACUUUUAAAUUUAAUGUAGUCAAAAUUAUCAAUUUUAUAUCCCAUAAUAUUCUUUAUAUCUUGUUUUGACCUAAAGUCUUCACAUAUCCAUUGGCCUAACAGUAGACUAUUUUGUGCUUUUCUAAUUUGUAUUUGGUAUCACCAUUAUUUCUAAAUCAUGUGUUCAUUUUGACAAUGCCUUGGCAUAUGGUAUAAAGAGUUUGCCUGUGUCUAAUUUAUGCCAUUCAAUUUUUCAGAGUUCCAGGAAGAUUUUAUCAAAAACUAAGUUUUUUCCAAAAACUUGGAUUUGGCUUGACAAAAAUCUGGAUUACUAUGGUCAUUUACCAUGGUGUGUUGAGUGUCUAAUCUAUUCCACUUUCUGUCUUACUCAGUAUCAGAUUGUUUUGUUGGUUGCUACUUUAUAAGAUAGUUUAAGAUCUGUUAUAGCUAAGCCAAAUUCCUUCAUUUUUUUCAUUAAUUCCCUUAAUAUUCUAGCUAUUUUGUUCUUUCAUGUGAAUGUUGUUAUUUUUUUCACUCUA